rnacentral:rRNA from 1 species
AAUCAACGCUGGCGGCGUGCCUAACACAUGCAAGUCGAACGCGAAAGUCCCGCAAGGGAUCAGUAGAGUGGCAAACGGGUGAGUAACACGUGGGUGACCUGCCUUCGAGUGGGGGAUAACGUCCCGAAAGGGACGCUAAUACCGCAUGACAUCCUGCCUUUUAAGAGGUGGAGCUUAAAGCUGGGGAUCGCAAGACCUGGCGCUUGAAGAGGGGCCCGCGCCUGAUUAGCUAGUUGGUGGGGUAACGGCUCACCAAGGCAACGAUCAGUA